rnacentral:rRNA from 1 species
UACGGAGGGUGCAAGCGUUAUCCGGAUUUACUGGGUUUAAAGGGUGCGUAGGUGGGUAGGUAAGUCAGUGGUGAAAUCUUCGAGCUUAACUCGGAAACUGCCAUUGGUACUAUUUAUCUUGAAUACUCUGGAGGUAAGCGGAAUAUGUCAUGUAGCGGUGAAAUGCUUAGAUAUGACAUAGAACACCAAUUGCGAAGGCAGCUUACUACAUAGUUAUUGACACUGAGGCACGAAAGCGUGGGGAUCAAACAGG